CGAACCCCAGGGUCAGGCGGGGGUUUACCCCGCCUUGAAUUUUAAAGCAUU
rnacentral:rRNA from 1 species